rnacentral:rRNA from 1 species
CCUACGGGAGGCAGCAGUGAGGAAUAUUGGUCAAUGGACGAGAGUCUGAACCAGCCAAGUAGCGUGAAGGAUGACUGCCCUAUGGGUUGUAAACUUCUUUUAUAAAGGAAUAAAACGAGGCACGUGUGCCUUUUUGCAUGUACUUUAUGAAUAAGGAUCGGCUAACUCCGUGCCAGCAGCCGCGGUAAUACGGAGGAUCCGAGCGUUAUCCGGAUUUAUUGGGUUUAAAGGGAGCGUAGAUGGGUUGUUAAGUCAGUUGUGAAAGUUUGCGGCUCAACCGUAAAAUUGCAAUUGAUACUGGAAGUCUUGAGUACAGUUGAGGUAGGCGGAAUUCGUGGGGUAGCGGUGAAAUGCUUAGAUAUCACGAAGAACCCCGAUUGCGAAGGCAGCUUACUAAACUGUGACUGACAUUGAUGCUCGAAAGUGUGGGUAUCAAACAGGAUUAGAUACCCGAGUAGUC